rnacentral:rRNA from 1 species
UACAGAGGUCUCAAGCGUUGUUCGGAUUCAUUGGGCGUAAAGGGUGCGUAGGCGGCGCGGUAAGUCGGGUGUGAAAUCUUGGAGCUUAACUCCGAAACUGCAUUCGAUACUGCCGUGCUUGAGGACUGGAGAGGAGACUGGAAUUUACGGUGUAGCGGUGAAAUGCGUAGAUAUCGGGAGGAACACCAGUGGCGAAGGCGACUACCUGGCCUGUUCUUGACGCUGAGGCGCGAAAGCUAGGGGAGCAAACGGGG